rnacentral:rRNA from 1 species
GACGAACGCUGGCGGCGUGCUUAACACAUGCAAGUCGAACGGAAAGGCCCUGCUUUUGUGGGGUGCUCGAGUGGCGAACGGGUGAGUAACACGUGAGUAACCUGCCCUUGACUUUGGGAUAACUUCAGGAAACUGGGGCUAAUACCGGAUAGGAGCUCCUGCUGCAUGGUGGGGGUUGGAAAGUUUCGGCGGUUGGGGAUGGACUCGCGGCUUAUCAGCUUGUUGGUGGGGUAGUGGCUUACCAAGGCUUUGACGGGUAGCCGGCCUGAGAGGGUGACCGGCCACAUUGGGACUGAGAUACGGCCCAGACUCCUACGGGAGGCAGCGGGGGAGAAUAUUGCACAAUGGGCGGAAGCCUGAUGCAGCAACGCCGCGUGCGGGAUGACGGCCUUCGGGUUGUAAACCGCUUUCGCCUGUGACGAAGCGUGAGUGACGGUAAUGGGUAAAGAAGCACCGGCUAACUACGUG